GUAGGCGUAGCCGACGCGCAGCAGGCAGACAUUCCUGCACCGCGCACGCGGCGCUACGACCGACGGGGCGACGGAUGGGGGUGGCUCGGCGGGGUUCUGGACGUCCCCGUGAUGGAGCGCGGCCCGCGGACCAGGGAAAUCCGGUCCGCAGGAGGGCGAGGCUCCGGACGAAGCGACUGAGCGAAGCGAGUGAGCCCGAGGUCCCUAGAAAAACCCCUAGGCAGGCGCGUGCGCGCCCGUACCGCAAACCGACACAGGUGGGUGGGUAGAACAUACCGAGGCGAUCGGGUCAACCAUGGUCAAGGAACUCGGCACAAUGGCCCCGUAACUUCGGGAGAAGGGGUGCCCGCGCGUACGUGAACCGGCUUGCCCGGGGAGCGGAGGCGGGCCGCAGUGGAGAGGCCCAAGCGACUGUUUACCAAAAACACAGGACUCUGCAGAAGCCGCAAGGCGACGUAUAGGGUCUGACGCCUGCCCGGUGCCGGAAGGUCACGCGGAGGAGUUAGCCGUUAAGGCGAAGCCCCGAAGCCAAGCCCCGGUAAACGGCGGCCGUAACUAUAACGGUCCUAAGGUAGCGAAAUUCCUUGUCGGGUAAGUUCCGACCUGCACGAAAGGCGCAACGACUUGGGCGCUGUCUCGACCAUGGACCCGGUGAAAUUGCACUGGUCGUGAAGAUGCGACUUACCCGCGGAAGGACGGAAAGACCCCGUGAACCUUCACUGCAGCUUGGCAUUGGCCGCUGGUCCCGCGUGUAGAGGAUAGGCAGGAGGCUAAGAUCCGGAGGCGCCAGCCCCCGGGGAGCCGCCCUUGGAAUACUGCCCUCGCGCGACCGGCGUCCUAACCCGAGGCCGUCAACCGGCUCGGGGACCGUGCCAGGCGGGCAGUUUGACUGGGGCGGUCGCCUCCUAAAGGGUAACGGAGGCGCGCGAAGGUCCGCUCGGGACGGUCGGCAACCGUCCUUUUGAAUGCAAGAGUACAAGCGGGCUUGACUGCGAGGCCCACAAGCCGAGCAGGUGCGAAAGCAGGCUCUAGUGAUCCGGCGGCCCCGAGUGGGUGGGCCGUCGCUCAACGGAUAAAAGGUACUCCGGGGAUAACAGGCUGAUCUUGCCCAAGAGUCCACAUCGACGGCA
rnacentral:rRNA from 1 species